GUUGUCGUGGCCGAGUGGUUAAGGCGAUGGACUAGAAUUCCUGCGCAGGUUUGAAUCCUGCCGACAACG